GACGAACGCUGGCGGCGUGGAUUAGGCAUGCAAGUCGAACGGUAGGAUACCUUCGGGUAUCUGAGAGUGGCGAACGGGUGAGUAACACGUAGGUGAUCUACCCUCAAGAUUGGGACAACCCAGGGAAACUUGGGCUAAUACCGGAUGAAAGCAGCAGUGAUGUUGUUUGAAAGGUGGCGUAAGCUGCCGUUUGGGGAUGAGCCUGCGCUCUAUUAGUUAGUUGGCGGGGUAAAGGCCCACCAAGGCGAUGAUAGAUAGGCGGCCUUAACGGGUGGUCGCCCACACUGGGAUUGAGAUACGGCCCAGACUCCUACGGGAGCAGCAGUCGAGAAUAGUCUACAAUGGCCGAAAGGCUGGAUAGUGCGACGCCGCGUGAACGAAGAAGCCCUUGGGGUGUAAAGUUCUUUUAUAUGUGAGCAGUGCUUUCAUGUGAACAGCAUGGGGAAGAGAUAUUAGCAUAUGAAUAAGCAAACGGCUAAACUCCGUGCCCAGCAGCCG
rnacentral:rRNA from 1 species